UGGUGACGCGGGCAUUGCUGC
rnacentral:miRNA from 1 species